rnacentral:rRNA from 1 species
AGAGUUUGAUCCUGGCUCAGAACGAACGCUGGCGGCAGGCUUAACACAUGCAAGUCGAACGAAUCCUUCGGGAUUAGCGGCGGACGGGUGAGUAACACGUGGGAACGUGCCCUUUGGUUCGGAACAACUCAGGGAAACUUACGCUAAUACCGAAUGUGCCCUUCGGGGGAAAGAUUUAUCGCCUUUAGAGCGGCCCGCGUCUGAUUAGCUUGUUGGUGGGGUAAUGGCCCACCAAGGCUACGAUCAGUAGCUGGUCUGAGAGGAUGACCAGCCACAUUGGGACUGAGACACGGCCCAAACUCCUACGGGAGGCAGCAGUGGGGAAUCUUGCGCAAUGGGCGAAAGCCUGACGCAGCCAUGCCGCGUGUAUGAUGAAGGUCUUAGGAUUGUAAAAUACUUUCACCGGUGAAGAUAAUGACUGUAGCCGGAGAAGAAGCCCCGGCUAACUUCGUGCCAGCAGCCGCGGUAAUACGAAGGGGGCUAGCGUUGCUCGGAAUUACUGGGCGUAAAGGGAGCGUAGGCGGACAUUUAAGUCAGGGGUGAAAUCCCGGAGCUCAACUCCGGAACUGCCCUUGAUACUGGGUGUCUUGAGUGUGAGAGAGGUAUGUGGAACUCCGAGUGUAGAGGUGAAAUUCGUAGAUAUUCGGAAGAACACCAGUGGCAAAGGCGACAUACUGGCUCAUUACUGACGCUGAGGCUCGAAAGCGUGGGGAGCAAACAGGAUUAGAUACCCUGGUAGUCG